GACGCUUUGGUGGAGUGGUUAACACGUAUCCCUGCUAUCUCCUCGAUAAGCACUUCGCGUUGACGAAUGUCAGGAUAUCCUCUCUGAGGGCGUGAGUUCGAAUCUCACAGGCGUCG
rnacentral:tRNA from 1 species